CCUACGGGAGGCAGCAGUGAGGAAUAUUGGUCAAUGGGAGAGAUCCUGAACCAGCCAAGCCGCGUGAGGGAAGACGGCCCUAUGGGUUGUAAACCUCUUUUGUCGGAGAACAAAACCCGGGACGUGUCCCGGACUGCGUGUAUCCGAAGAAAAAGCAUCGGCUAACUCCGUGCCAGCAGCCGCGGUAAUACGGAGGAUGCGAGCGUUAUCCGGAUUUAUUGGGGUUAAAGGGUGCGUAGGCGGUCCGUUAAGUCAGCGGGAAAAUUGCGGGGCUCAACCCCGUCGAGCCGUUGAAACUGGCAGACUUGAGUGGGCGAGAGGUACGCGGAAUGCGCGGUGUAGCGGUGAAAUGCAUAGAUAUCGCGCAGAACUCCGAUUGCGAAGGCAGCGUACCGGCGCCAGACUGACGCUGAGGCACGAAAGCGUGGGGAUCGAACAGGAUUAGAUACCCCAGUAGUC
rnacentral:rRNA from 1 species